AGGGAAUCUUCCGCAAUGGGCGCAAGCCUGACGGAGCAACGCCGCGUGAGUGAUGAAGGUUUUCGGAUCGUAAAGCUCUGUUGCCAGGGAAGAACGUCCGGUAGAGUAACUGCUGCCGGAGUGACGGUACCUGAGAAGAAAGCCCCGGCUAACUACGUGCCAGCAGCCGCGGUAAUACGUAGGGGGCAAGCGUUGUCCGGAAUUAUUGGGCGUAAAGCGCGCGCAGGCGGUUAUUUAAGUCUGGUGUUUAAACCUUGGGCUCAACCUGAGGUCGCACUGGAAACUGGGUGACUUGAGUACAGAAGAGGAAAGUGGAAUUCCACGUGUAGCGGUGAAAUGCGUAGAUAUGUGGAGGAACACCAGUGGCGAAGGCGACUUUCUGGGCUGUAACUGACGCUGAGGCGCGAAAGCGUGGGGAGCAAAC
rnacentral:rRNA from 1 species